rnacentral:misc_RNA from 1 species
AACGGUCUAUACCUGCGGUACCUGCGGAGGGAUCAUUAACGAUUUCGGUGUAAAAAACCGUUUUCUACCUAUGUCUACGCGUACCACUUGUUUCCUCGGGGGGCUUGCCCCCCGCUAGGACCCUUUAUCAAACCUUUUUGUAAUAGCAGUCAGCGUCUGAUACUACGUUAAUUAUUAAAACUUUCAACAACGGAUCUCU